rnacentral:lncRNA from 1 species
AGGUGGGCUUAAUAUAGAUGCCAGGCUCCUGAGAAGGGGAAGAAGAAGGCAGAAGAGAGUCAGAGAGAUGGCAAUGGGAAGAAAUGCCCUGCUGUUGGAUGGCUUUGAGGUUGGAGGAAGGGCCCAGGAAGCAAGGCAGGUGGGCAGCUUCUAGAAGCCAGAAAGGACAAGGAAGUGGAUCCUUCUCAAGAGCCUCCAGAAAGGCAGGCUGCUCUGUCGACACCUUGACUUCAGCCCCGUGAGACCCAUCUCAGACUUCUGAACGACAGCACUGUGAGUGGAGGUGUCCACCAGGAGCCGCUGGCACCCUUUGUCAGCGAGCUAAACACUCUCCUGGCCUUGGAGUCACAGAAGUUGAAGGAGGAGAUUCAAGGAGGCAGAGUUGCUGCAGGCCAACAAGGUGGAGCUUAAUGAGUCUUCUCCUGACUAAGCCUGACUAAUUUGUGAGAAUUUUGAAUAAACCUGACUCUUUCAAUGGCAAUUCUGAGGACCCAGUUGGAUAGAACACGUCUUCAGGCUUAGAUUGGAAACUGGGUGUGUCUAAUAUUCUACAAAUACACUUGUAAUAAAUUAAUGGUGGCUUCCGUGAAGCGGUUCCUCACGGUCUACUCCACAAAGCUACAGAGAACAGAGUUGCAGUUAAUGCAAACUGUGAAGGAGUCCAUCCAAAAAGGCCUCCCAUCCAUCUGGAGCUAAUGAUGUUUCCAGCACUCAGCGAGGCUCCUGGGAACCAAACAACCCUGUUGUCAGCCCACCUGGUCUAGCAUUUCCAGGAGCAGCUGGCUUGUUCCAGAGAGGUCUAAGUCCUCCAAUCCAUCAGAGACGCCCCGGUCUGGUUCUGUGGAAAUUUCUAGGCUAGUUAUUUCCUCCAUGACUCAUCCAUGUGUUUCAUCCAAACUUAAAAAUGCUCCUCCUGUCACCCUCCUCUCCAAAGUCCCAACCCCUGUGGCUCUGUGCUUUCUUCUCCCUGAACAGAUGUAAUUUCCACCGUAUUUCUUAGAACCUAUACUUAAUUGCACACAACAUCACAUACGCCCUUAGCCUAGUCACAGAUCCUUCAACCAUUUUCUGGCUCUCACUGAAACCUUCUCUCUCAAGUGGACACUCUCAUUUGGGUUGGAGUCCUUGCUCCCAAUGUAACUUGUAGAUCUUUACUCCUCCGCAGUUCUCCUCGCUCAUUCCCCUCUUUCCGGGAGCCCCUGGGCUCACUGUCAAUCUUUUCAUCUCAGGUGUAUAAAUCCACCCUUCAUCUUAGGCUCUUAACUCCUUUUCCUCCUCAACAGACCAGGAACCUGGUAUCACCUACCAUCCAAAUAUACCCCAAAGCUCACCACUUCUUUCUGCCUCCACUGCCUCCACCUAGGCUGCAUUCCAGGCCACCACAGUCUUUUACCUGUGCUGCUAUAACCUUGUAAAUCAGCUUUCUGAUUCUCCUUUUGCCCCCAUAGUCAGUUUUCCAUUC